UACGUAGGUGGCAAGCGUUGUCCGGAUUUACUGGGCGUAAAGAGCGCGCAGGCGGUCGCUCAAGUCGCGUGUGAAAGCCCCCGGCUCAACUGGGGAGGGUCACGCGAUACUGAUCGACUGGAAGGCAGGAGAGGGUAGUGGAAUUCCCGGUGUAGUGGUGAAAUGCGUAGAUAUCGGGAGGAACACCAGUGGCGAAGGCGACUACCUGGCCUGUUCUUGACGCUGAGGCGCGAAAGCUAGGGGAGCAAACAGG
rnacentral:rRNA from 1 species